GGAGCCCUGGUCACCGUCCCGGCCCUCGCCUCUCGUCUACAGCGACAGGGACCCCCUGUCACCGACGCCUAUGAAGCCCUCUCCGCUGGCGCAGAAAGAACGGGACGCAAGCUCCCCGACGCCUGCCCGCUUGUUCUUGCACAGGGACACGAGGUCCCCCAGCAAUGUGAAGCCGUCUCAGGUGCUCAUGAGAGAUCGAGGGG